rnacentral:rRNA from 1 species
AUACGGAGGAUCCGAGCGUUAUCCGGAUUUAUUGGGUUUAAAGGGUGCGCAGGCGGCCAUUUAAGUCAGCGGUUAAAUCGUGGGGCUCAACCCCAUCCUGCCGUUGAUACUGGGUGGCUUGAUUGCGGUCGAGGUUGGCGGAAUUCGUUGUGGAGCGGGGAAAUGCAUAGAUAUGACGAAGAACACCGAUUGCGUAGGCAGCUGACCAGACCGCAAAUGACGCUCAUGCACGAAAGUGCGGGGAUCGAACAGGAUUAGAUACCCUGGUAGUCCGCACAGUAAACGAUGAAUACUUGUUUUCGGCGAUAUAAUGUCGGAGGCAAAGCGAAAGCGAUAAGUAUUCCACCUGGGGAGUACGCCGGCAACGGUGAAACUCAAAUGAAUUGACGGGG